ensembl:lncRNA
UAUAGGAUAUAGUGUAUUAUACGUUUAGCUAUUAUUGUAUUAACAACCUACUAACCCUGGACAGUGACAGAAACUGGGUCACUGACAGGAGAUGUGUGAGACAUCCCUACAGUGUAGUGACAUGUGACCUGGACCACAGCUGGUAAUGGUUGACCUGUCCAAGAGAGCAGCUGAGAUCCUGCGACCGUCUGUUUACAGGUUGAGCCUGGCAGACUAGAUCUCCCCACUUCACUGAAGAUACAGUCAGACACAUAGACAGAUGGAGGAGUCUCACAGAUCAGCUGAACUGAGUCUCUCUCUCUGAUGACUGUAGGAAUCACUGUCAGCUGAGGAUGAUCUGUGAGAAUAUAAAAUGUAGCAUUUUGUGUUUUUUUGAAAUUAUUGACAGCCUUAUCACCCUCUGUUUAUGGAGGGAGGGAUCUUGGAUACUAACAAUACUUAAUGCAGUGUUAGUAUGGGAAACAUAUAUUUUUUGAUUGUUUAAUGGGAUAGCUAAGAGAGAAAGCUUUUCUCAAUCCACUUACCUGGUAAAAUUAGGAUUCAAUAUAAAAUAAUAAAAAAUAAAAGUACAACAAACAGUAUAAUAAAAAGAUCAGAAGAGAAACAUGGCAAAACAGUACAUUGAUUAAAACAAUUAAAACAGUCUUCUUACCCUGAAUUGUGACUGUAGAUGGGUCACUGAAUAUGGAUCUAAACUGAAAGCCAGUGUUACUGUAUUGACAUUGUAUUUUGACCACAGCAGGUGAACUUCGACCUGUCCACCGUAACAGAUGAUUUACUGUGAUUCUGAGUGUCUGUUGACAGGCUGCUGGUAGGGUAAACUCCACUUGCCCCUCAAAUUUGAAGUAACACUCAGACUCAGAGAGAGAUGAAGGAGUUGCACAGAUCAUCUCAACUGAGCCUCUCUCUCUGAUGACUGUAGGAAUCACUGUCAGACUGGGCCGAGGAAGGUCUGUUAGGAGGAAUGUCAGGGAAUAAAUACAUUUUCAGUGUUUCAUUAAUCAUACACCAAUCAGCCAUAACAUUAUAACCACUGACAGGUGAAGUGAAUUACACUGACAAUCUCGUCAUCUUGGCACCUGUCAGUGGGUGGGAAAAGUGAACAUUCUGUCCUCAAAAAUGAUGUGUUAGAAGCAGGAACAAUGGACAAGCUUAAGGAUCUGAGCGUCAUUGACAAGGGCCAAAUUGUGAUGGCUAGACGACUGGGUCCGAGCAUCUACAAAACUGUAGCCCUUGUGUUCCCGGUCUGCAGUGGUCAGUUCCUAUAAAAAGUGGUCCAAGGAAGGAAAAGCGGUGAACGGGCAAUAGGGUCAGGGGCGACCAAGGCUCAUUGAUGCACGUGGGGAGCGAAGGCUGGCCCAUGAGUUCCGAACCAACUUGUUGAAAAAGUUCAUGUUGGUACUGAUAGAAAGGUGUCAGAAUACACAGUGCAUCACAGUUCAUUGCGUAUGGAGCUGUGUAGCCGCAGACCAGUCAGGGGGCCCAUACUGACACCGAUCCACUGCCGAAAGCACUUACAAUGGGCACAUGAGCAUCAGAACUGGACCAUGGAGCAAUGGAAGAAGGUGGCCUGGUCUGAUGAAUCCUGUUUUUAUUUAUAGCACGUGGAUGCCCUGGUACGUUUCGCUUACCUGGAGAACACGUGGCACUAGGAUGCACUGUGGGAAGAAGGCAAGCCGGCGGAGGCAGUCUGAUGCUUUGGGCAAGUUUCUGCUGGGAAACCUUGGGUCCUGCCAUUCAUGUGAAUGUUACUUUGACACGUACCACCUGCCUGAACAUUGUUACAGACCAUGUGCACCCUUUAAUGGGAAUGGUAUUGCCUGAUGGCAUUUGCCUCUUUCAGCAGGAUAAUGUACCCUGCCACAAAGCAAAAAUAUUUGAGGAAUGGUUUGAGGAACAAACCAAUGAGUUCAAGGUGUUGGCAGAUGUCAAUCCAAUCAAGCAUCUGUGGAAUGUGCUGGACAAACAAGUCAGAUCCAUGGAGGUGCCACUUCGCAACUUAGAGGAUCUACUGCUAACAUCUUGGUGCCAGAUAGAUGGUAUGUUUGAAAAUUGAGGAUUGCAUAAAUAUUCACCACACUUCUUCAAAAUUUUGUUUCAUUUAAUGUAUGGAAAUGUAUUGAAUUUGGCGUUAAAUUUUGGUGGCAAGAUAGAAAUUAACCUCAUCCCCAGGUUAUUGUGCACAGAGCAAAUAAGCCAGGAACACCUAACAGUCUAAGUUGGACUUUAGGGGGUGACUGUCAUCCUGUGGAAGUGUGAAGUAUUUGUCAUGUUUUGAAAUAUAGCCAAUCAAAAUACUGCAAUGUGGCAUGAAAUGGAACUGCAUUUCUGAUGUUUGAUCAUCUAAAAUAACACUUCUAUUACAUUCAGUCUACAAUGAGUCAGCCAAUUCAUAAAACAAGCUUAUAGGCAACAGCACUUUUUUGAUCAUAAUGAACUAGUUUUAAUGAAGCAAGAACUGCCUUGUUAUGCAGCGUGUUCAGUGUCAGUGGGAAAAGUCAGCAUAUGCAAAAAAGAUGUCAAACAGCAAUGUUACAACAUUGUAGUGAUUGGUGCUUGGGUUAACAAAACACAGAUUGUGGGAGAUGAUUGGUCAGUAGACUAAGCCAAUUAAACUAAAGGCUAUUGAUGCAGGGAUGUUUCCCAACUGUCUUAUUUGCUUAUUUGCUUUCAUUAAAUUGUUCCACCAGACCUUCCGCAAAUUCAGAAGAGUCUGGAAAUGAGAUUGGAUAGGAACUGAAAACGACUGUAGGUUUCCUGGUACGAAGACAAGGAUAGGCAUAAAGGUUGUAGUCAGAGAGUAUAAGGUCAAAUUUUUCUCCAAUAAAUGUUAUUUUAAUUCCAUAAUCUUGAUCAUAUGUAUGUGGUUUGACAUUAAGACACACAGAUAUAUGAAAUAAAUGGAGAAUUCAGUUUUGUCUGUCUAGCAGUUGUUUGGCACUGAAACAAAGACAAAGAAUGUAGGAAAUGAAUGGGUUAAUUGGUUGCAGGUGUCUCAGAGCAUAGAGAUGUAUAGAGGACUCUAUUUAACCCCACCUCCACUCCACCCUCAGUCCUCCAUUAGCACAUACAAGUGUCCCUAUCCCUGAGGGAGUCAAAAUGAUCAGGGUGUCAGGGGUAAUAAGUUGCCCCAGUUGCCCCUUCCAGCCUUGUUUUGGUGGUUAUUGUCCUGUUAAACGUUACUGAAAAACAUCCCAGUCUUUGUAGUCAUCACACAAAUCCAUACCAUGACCAGCCACCACCAUAUUGUAGAGGUUACUUAUUAAAGUUUUGUUUUGUAUUUUGUAGUCGAUGAAGUGUAAUCCUUGUACCUUGUGUUAUACCUUGUGUUAUGGUUAGACAUGAAACCACUAACUAAAGUUGUAUUCAAAUGUCAAAACCAGAAAUUAGGAACUUGGCUUUCUGUGCUAUCUAAUCAGUAAUUGCACCCACGUGGUAUCCCAGGUCUAAAUACGUUUCUGAUUAGGGGGUUGCAAUGAGAAAAUAGACUGAAACUGGAUUUGAGGGCCAGAUUUGAAUACCACUGCACUAAUGGUCUCGUGGUAAUAUAUCUAAGCUGUCUUUUUAAUGUCCUGGAGAAUAUCUAUGAUAUAUCUCAGUGGUUUUAUACAUUUCCAACAGCAAAAUUAUUAAUGUGACAAUGUUAGAGAUACGGAUAACCUGAUCUUUUAUUGUUACCUAUCUACCAACUACUGAUUUCUUCAUGACAAUAAAAUAAAACCUUCCUAGUAUUUGAAUGUGUGAUAAAAUUACAUUUGGACCACAGUAUGCUACAGAACUUUAUUUGUAAGAGACAAAUGAAGGGUAAUAACUUCUAAAAUAAAUGUAAAGGUCAUGAAUGUGACUCCUGCUUGUCUAAACAGAACAUAUGUAGUGACAAUAUUUUAUCACUACACUCAAAACUGUAUUUUUUCUUUAGAGAUCAAAUAUGUAAUGUAGAUAAAGCACCAAAAAGUACAUUUGAAAACCAUUGAAAUCAUACUUUUUGAGGCAAAUUAUUGGGGGGAGGAAGUCCCAGGGGGAGAAUACUUCUGCAAUCCACGGUAUAUACAGUACCCUAUUUCACUGCUCAUAUAGAUACUCAUAUAGAUACUAUAGCACUUAAGCCUUUACUGUAGAGUAGGUUUGAAGCAAAGGUACUCAAUACUCUCAAACAAAUGAUUAUAAGCUUAACAAAAUAAGCACUAGUACCACGUGAGAUGUAAACAUGUUUU